rnacentral:misc_RNA from 1 species
CUAAUCUUUGAGAGAUAAUCCCAUCAAGCGGUAAUGCCUCCAAUAGUAUUGGCAGUUGUUUUUUAGUAAAAUUUUUUGGAACUGCAUCGUAAAGAUUUUAGGGGGCAUAGCUCAGCUGGGAGAGCACCUGCUUUGCAAGCAGGGGGUCGUCGGUUCGAUCCCGUCUGCCUCCACCAAUUAUUUAGAUUAUAUUGUUGUUAGCCAAAAGGCUUUAAUUGAAUAUUGAUUGAAGUUUUUUGAAUGGCAGCAAUGUCAAGAAUUUUAUGUUCUUUAACAAUUUGGAAGAAGAAAUAAUACAACAGAAGCGCGUUAGAGAUGGCGUGUGGAAAUUGUAUGGGUUGUGAUUGUAUCAAAUGUAUUAAAAGUAAUCGAAAGAUAACUUGGAAUACGGCACAACGCAAAAACUCAACCUAUUUCGAGUGUGAAUCAUCCUUCUUCAAGGAUUGAGGAAGUGAGUCGAAUAGAAUCUUCUAAUCGA